UAUCCGUAGGUGAACCUGCGGAAGGAUCAUUAUUGUGUAACCGAGGUGCGAGGGCUGUCGCUGACCCGAAAGGUCGUGCACGCCCGAGUGCCCUCACACACAUCCAUCUCACCCCUAUGUGCACCACCGCGUGGGUCCCCCUUUGGCUUGUUCGGAGGGGGGCUUACGUUUUCACACAAACUUUGUAUGCAGUGUAGAAUGUAUUUUUUGUUUUUGCGAUCACGCAAUCAAUACAACUUUCAACAACGGAUCUCUUGGCUCUC
rnacentral:misc_RNA from 1 species